rnacentral:lncRNA from 1 species
GGCACAUAAAGAAAGUUUUGAUGCUGGUAUCCAUAUCCCUCCUUCUCAUCAACAACAAAAAGGAUGACUACUUAAGAUUCUGUUGUCUUAAAGGCUUUAUUAAGUUAUUGCCCAAGGUAGGAAAGGGAUAUUAUUGUCUACAUAUGUUUGCCAGAAUCAUGCAGCUUCUCUAUUCUGGCUUUCCGAGCAGGUGUCUCUUUAAGUACUUAUUCUAAAUGGAACACAACUGGGCGACAUCAGAAAGGGCACUGUUGACAACUGUCAUAGCAGGUUCCAGCUUGAAUGGUAACUGAGCAGAAGGUUAUUUGAAAUUUCAGAUGGUAACAAGCUUGGAAUUGUCUUUUUCUUCAGCUAUGGACUGUAUCAAAGUUUAUGGGCUAUAAUUGUAUUUUGGUUUCUGCCAGGCAUCAGGAUAGCUCAUUUGCAUGACUGGUACAAAAUUUACUUAUUCAGUGAAUCAUGCUCAGCUGCUGUACUGUUCAAUCUGUAAUAAUAACUGCAGGGUGACUGACUAACGAUAACUAAUCUUCUCUCAACUACAAAAGC